rnacentral:misc_RNA from 1 species
UACGGAGGGUGCACGCGUUGUCCGGAAUCAUUGGGUGCAAAGGGUGCGUAGGCGGAGGACUAAGUCGGAGGUGAAAUCCUGCCGCUUAACGGUAGAAGGGCCUUCGAUACUGGAUUUCUUGAGUUCGGAAGAGGUUGGUGGAAUUCGUGGUGUGGCGGUGAAAUGCAUAGAUAUCACGAAGAACACCGGUAGCGAAGGCGGCCAACGGGUCCGAUACUGACGCUGAGACACGAGAGCGUGGGGAGCGAACAGG